rnacentral:rRNA from 1 species
UGAACUUAAGCAUAUCAAUAAGCGGAGGAAAAGAAACCAACAGGGAUUACCUCAGUAACGGCGAGUGAAGCGGUAACAGCUCAAAUUUGAAAUCUGGCUCCUCGGGGCCCGAAUUGUAAUUUGUAGAAGAUGCUUUGGGUCUGGGCCUGGCCUAAGUUCCUUGGAACAGGACGUCGUAGAGGGUGAGAAUCCCGUAUGCGGCUGGCGCCCGUGCCCGUGUAAAGCUCUUUCAACGAGUCGAGUUGUUUGGGAAUGCAGCUCUAAAUGGGUGGUAAAUUUCAUCUAAAGCUAAAUAUUGGCCAGAGACCGAUAGCGCACAAGUAGAGUGAUCGAAAGAUGAAAAGCACUUUGGAAAGAGAGUUAAACAGUACGUGAAAUUGUUGAAAGGGAAGCGCUGGCAACCAGACUUGGGCGCUGUUGAUCCGCUAGGGUUCUCUCUAGGGCACUCGGCAGUGCGCAGGCCAGCAUCGGUUUGGGGGGUUGGAGAAUGGCUGGUGGAAUGUGGCUGUCUUUGGGCAGUGUUAUAGCCACCGGUGGCAUGCAGCCUCCCCGGACCGAGGACCGCGCUUCGGCUAGGAUGCUGGCGUAAUGGUUGUCAGCGACCCGUCUUGAAACACGGACCAAGGAGUCUAACAUCUAUGCGAGUGUUUGGGUGUUAAACCCAUACGCGGAAUGAAAGUGAACGUAGGUGAGAACCCGCAAGGGUGCAUCAUCGACCGAUCCUGAUGUCUUCGGAUGGAUUUGAGUAAGAGCAUAGCUGUUGGGACCCGAAAGAUGGUGAACUAUGCCUGAAUAGGGUGAAGCCAGAGGAAACUCUGGUGGAGGCUCGCAGCGGUUCUGACGUGCAAAUCGAUCGUCAAAUUUGGGUAUAGGGGCGAAAGACUAAUCGA